UCCGAGGCAGGGUCAGAAUUGGCCGUCAGAAAACCAGGAGAAAAACUUGUGGCCGCUUGGUAGAACAGCUGCACUUUUUCAGGAGGAGAGAGACAGAGAGAGUGAGAGCAAUUUCAACGGAAGAAUUUGAAUUGAUGUCUCACAGUGCCCUCUAGUGGCUCAGAAACACGGCUUCUAAAUGGCAACAAGGCAGCUAUUCAUCAAGCCUAAGCAAAACGUGACCUGAAGAUCAAAUUGAAGGGAUUCUUCUUUGAGGCCAAGACAUUGAGACAAUUGUUGUGUUACCUUUGCUGCCAUCAUGAGAUUUGCUGCGUUUCCGCUUCAGACUUUCUACUGCAG